GAUGAACGCUAGCGGCAGGCUUAACACAUGCAAGUCGAGGGGCAGCAUAAUGGAUAGCAAUAUCUAUGGUGGCGACCGGCGCACGGGUGCGUAACGCGUAUGCAACCUACCUUUAACAGGGGGAUAACACUGAGAAAUUGGUACUAAUACCCCAUAAUAUCAUAGAAGGCAUCUUUUAUGGUUGAAAAUUCCGAUGGUUAGAGAUGGGCAUGCGUUGUAUUAGCUAGUUGGUGGGGUAACGGCUCACCAAGGCGACGAUACAUAGGGGGACUGAGAGGUUAACCCCCCACACUGGUACUGAGACACGGACCAGACUCCUACGGGAGGCAGCAGUGAGGAAUAUUGGUCAAUGGACGCAAGUCUGAACCAGCCAUGCCGCGUGCAGGAUGACGGCACUAUGAGUUGUAAACUGCUUUUGUACGAGGGUAAACGCAGAUACGUGUAUCUGUCUGAAAGUAUCGUACGAAUAAGGAUCGGCUAACUCCGUG
rnacentral:rRNA from 1 species